rnacentral:rRNA from 1 species
AUUGAACGCUGGCGGCAGGCCUAACACAUGCAAGUCGAACGGUAGCACAGAGAGCUUGCUCUCGGGUGACGAGUGGCGGACGGGUGAGUAACGUCUGGGAAACUGCCCGAUGGAGGGGGAUAACUACUGGAAACGGUAGCUAAUACCGCAUAACGUCGCAAGACCAAAGUGGGGGACCUUCGGGCCUCACACCAUCGGAUGUGCCCAGAUGGGAUUAGCUAGUAGGUGGGGUAAUGGCUCACCUCGGCGACGAUCCCUAGCUGGUCUGAGAGGAUGACCAGACACACUGGAACUGAGACACGGUCCAGACUCCUACGGGAGGCAGCAGUGGGGAAUAUUGCACAAUGGGCGCAAGCCUGAUGCAGCCAUGCCGCGUGUAUGAAGAAGGCCUUCGGGUUGUAAAGUACUUUCAGCGGGGAGGAAGGCGGUGAAGUUAAUAGCUUCACCGAUUGACGUUACCCGCAGAAGAAGCACCGGCUAACUCCGUGCCAGCAGCCGCAGUAA